rnacentral:tRNA from 1 species
GGGUCUGUGGCGCAGCUGGUAGCGCACCUGCAUGGCAUGCAGGGGGGGUCAGGGGUUCGAGUCCCCCUCAGAUCCACCA